AGUUUCUCGUGGUGGGGAUUUGUCCAGUUCUACAACCUAUUCUCUCAUUUAGACCUUGUCUUAAGAGUAUUUCUAGGAAAACUCUAAAUGUUGAAUAGUUCUAAAGAUUCCUUGAUCCGUCAUCUUGAAAUAAUAUGUGAUCAGUUUGAUCUUUUUGGUAACUGACAGAGGUGUAAAGUGAAGAAACACUCCUGAGCCAAUGCCUGAUUGAUAAUACACUUGGACUAUGAGAUGGUUGUGCUACCAACAGCUACUGUUGCAGUAACUCCAGUCCAUGUUUUCUGAAUUUUGCCACGUUUCCCUCACCUUCUGAUAUUUUUUGGAGCCUUGACAGCAUCUGAGCAAGUUUCUGUUGUCGUUCAGCCAGCUCCCCACGACCACUGAAAUCCACACGGAAAAGUGCCAUUAUGGAGUCAAUGAUCUGCAUUGUAAUUAUACUCCUUUUAAUCAGCUUGGAAAUCAGGAGUAUCUCAAAUCUUACUGCGAUCCUGAGAAGAAACUCAAGCCCCUUUUCUCAAAUGAAGAUCAGAUAAGACUUAAUGGUGUCAAAAUUGUGCUUUACUCAGUACCAUCACUAAAUCCGUGUAUUUUAUGUUGAAAAUAGGUAAGAAUAUUAUUAAUAAGUUCUUACGCUCAAAGCAUCCGCUUAAUCUUCUGCCCAAAUUCAUGUUUUGGACUUAGUAGGAUUUUUCCCCAGCUGUAACUCAUAUGAUCAAAAAUUAUUUGAAUUUGAACUUUUCCUGGUAGGCAAAUAGUUCCUGGUUGUGGGUUUAGUCUCUUUGGAGUGAAUAA